CCUACGGGAUGCAGCAGUGGGGAAUAUUGGACAAUGGGCGAAAGCCUGAUCCAGCCAUGCCGUGUGUGUGAAGAAGGCCCUCGGGUUGUAAAGCACUUUCAGUGGGGAAGAAAGCCUUGGGGCUAAUACCCUCGAGGAAGGACAUCACCCACAGAAGAAGCACCGGCUAACUCCGUGCCAGCAGCCGCGGUAAUACGGAGGGUGCGAGCGUUAAUCGGAAUUACUGGGCGUAAAGCGCGCGUAGGCGGUCUGAUAAGCCGGUUGUGAAAGCCCCGGGCUCAACCUGGGAACGGCAUCCGGAACUGUCAGGCUAGAGUGCAGGAGAGGAAGGUAGAAUUCCCGGUGUAGCGGUGAAAUGCGUAGAGAUCGGGAGGAAUACCAGUGGCGAAGGCGGCCUUCUGGACUGACACUGACGCUGAGGUGCGAAAGCGUGGGUAGCAAACAGGAUUAGAUACCCGUGUAGC
rnacentral:rRNA from 1 species